AUGGCCUUGUUGUUCACUGAGGAGGAGAGUAGCAGUAGCUAUACCUGGUGCGGCACUGCGGCUCUGUGGAUUGUUCGAGUCCUCAUCGGCGUCGACCACAUCCGAAGCCUAGACGGCCACGUGUUUAUGAAGCCCGUGUACACCAUCCUGCUCACACCGCUGGCGCGGCGAGCUCGGCGAUUGGGGAGAGGAGGACUCGGCCACGAGGCGGUAGAGGAACGGGAAGACAUCGCCGCUGGCGGCGGAGAUGUGGUCCACCUAGCCCUCCAUCGAUUUUCUCCCCUGGACCUUGCUUGCUUGGGACCUGGGACUGGGAGCUGA
rnacentral:rRNA from 1 species